AUGCUCCUCGACCACAUCACCACGAACCACUCCCGCCAGGUCAUCCUCAUGCGCUACGGCCAGACAGGGAGGCUCAGCCUGCCACUGGCCCGGCGGUUGCAGGUCCUCGUCGACCAGGACGACAUGGCCAACAGGCAUCGGAGCGUGUUCCUCGUGGUCUUGGCCGAGCGCGACAAGGACGCCGCGGUGUCGCUGGUGUGCGUCAGGGCGGACGGUGACGCACCGGGCGCGCCGCAGUUCUCUUACAAGCUCGCCGUGGAGCACACCGGCAGUGGCGCGAGGGUGACGUUCGAGUUGCCGGUCAUGAAAAGCAGCUCCCUGCCCGCUGGCACGCCAUGGCCGGACGAGUUUACCUUCCUGUCGGUGCCUAGAGCGUAUCUGUCAGGCGACAUUGUCCCCCUCACCAUCCACAUUGACAAACUCGUUCCUCCUCCUCCCCCUCCUGCCGCCGCCCCUACUAGUCCUCCUCUUCCUCCUCCUCCUCCUCUUCCUCCUGCUGCCUCGGCUACCACCGCCGUCAAGUCUGCGCCGACUGAUCAAGGCAGCAAGAAAAGAAAAUCUACCAAUCCGAAGAAACUCUAG
rnacentral:rRNA from 1 species